rnacentral:rRNA from 1 species
UACGUAGGUGGCAAGCGUUGUCCGGAUUUAUUGGGUUUAAAGGGUGCGUAGGCGGCCCUGUAAGUCAGUGCUGAAAUAUCCCGGCUUAACCGGGAGGGUGGCAUUGAUACUGCAGGGCUUGAGUGAAGUCGAGGUAGGCGGAAUUGACGGUGUAGCGGUGAAAUGCUUAGAUAUCGUCAAGAACACCGAUAGUGAAGACAGCUUACUAGGCUUAUACUGACGCUGAGGCACGAAAGUGUGGGGAUCGAACAGG